CAGUCCUCCAGUCUUCAGCUGUCAGGACUAUAAACUCUCCCAGAGCACUGGAGCAUGGAGCUGCUGAUGCAAAGUGUCUCUCUAUGGAAAUGCUCUGACUGACUCCAACAGGGACUUGAUCACUUUCAUCACUGACUUUCACUCUGGAUUCACACUUUUAGUGGAAUAUUGAAGGAAUGUGCUGGAUAUUUAAAGGUGAUACCCGGCCCACCCUGACGGUGCUGCCCCCCUCCAGAGAGGAGCUGCAGCAGGGGACGGCCACGCUCAUGUGCCUGGCCAACAAGGGCUUCCCCUCAGACUGGAGUCUGAGCUGGAGGGUGGAGGACAGCAGCAGCAGCAGCAGCAGCAGCAGCUGGGAGCAGAGCAGCAGCCCCGGGGUGCUGCAGAAGCUGGACGGCCUCUACAGCUGGAGCAGCACCCUGAGGCUCCCUGCAGACCAGUGGAGGAAGGUGGGCUCUGUGACCUGUGAGGCCACCCGGGGCUCCCAGACUCCCCUCAGAGAGACACUGAGGAGAGACCAGUGUUCCCAGUCCUGACCGGACUCACUGGGACUCUCUCACUCAUCUCACCUCUGUCACUCUCUCUCUCUCCCUUUUUCUAUCUUCACACCAAACUGACUUCAGCAAUAUUCCUCUUCUGCCUGCUGAUUUUCUUCAAGCUUUGACAAAAUAAACAUUGUUUUCACAUCA